ACCGAUUCGACUUCGUUUCAGUUUCGGACUCCAGGAACAGGCCGCACUAAAACGGACGCCCAGGCUCAAAUUCAUCCGGAGUCGAAGGGAAUCGUCUGUGGAAGUUGGCGUCCAGAAUCUGUCCCGGUGCUGCGUCACUGUUUUUGGGCCGAUGGCCCGUGUAUCGUGUUGGAGCCCAAUAGGGGCGCGUCCAGGAGGUCUUGCGCGACCUAAACCCUUAUUAAUAGCCGCCGCCGCCAUCGUGAGACUUGGGUUUUGCUUAGAUUCAUUCUGUCAAGAACAGUUGUCGCCGUUCAUCGGUUUGUGAAACCCCAACUUGUGAGAUUAAUCAAUCAUCUGCAGAGUCACUCUAUUU